CUUGUACACACCGCCCGUCGCUAGUACCGAUUGAAUGGCUUAGUGAGGCUUCCGGAUUGGUUUAGAGAAGGGGGCAACUCCAUCUCGGAACUGAAAAGCUAGUCAAACUUGGUCAUUUAGAGGAACUAAAAGUCGUAACAAGGUUUCCGUAGGUGAACCUGCGGAAGGAUCAUUA
rnacentral:rRNA from 1 species